AACGCACGAGACCUGCGGACCUGCGGAGGGAUCAUUAAACAUUUUGGCCGUAACAAGCCUCAAACCUUAUUUACACGUACCUCCACAUUCUCCUUCGGCGGGGUAACGCCCGCCGAAGGAACCGACAAACGAACCUUUUGCAUCUAGCAUCCUACCCGUUCCGAUAAAAAAAUUCAAUCGUUACAACUUUUAACAACGGAUCUCU
rnacentral:misc_RNA from 1 species